CUACGGGAUGCAGCAGUGGGGAAUAUUGGACAAUGGGCGCAAGCCUGAUCCAGCAAUGCCGCGUGAGUGAAGACGGCCUUAGGGUUGUAAAACUCUUUCGCUAGGGAAGAUAAUGACUGUACCUAGUAAAGAAGUCCCGGCUAACUCCGUGCCAGCAGCCGCGGUAAUACGGAGGGGACUAGCGUUGUUCGGAAUUACUGGGCGUAAAGAGUUCGUAGGCGGACUGACAAGUUAGAGGUGAAAUCCCAGGGCUAAACCCUGGAACUGCCUUUAAAACUGUCAGUCUAGAGACCGGAAGAGGUUAGGGGAAUACCUAGUGUAGAGGUGAAAUUCGUAGAUAUUAGGUGGAACACCAGUGGCGAAGGCGCCUAACUGGUCCGGUACUGACGCUGAGGAACGAAAGCGUGGGGAGCAAACAGGAUUAGAUACCCGCGUAGUC
rnacentral:rRNA from 1 species